GCUGGCGUAGCUCAAUAAGGUAGAGCAGCCGAUUUGUAAUCGGCAGGUUGCGGGUUCGAGUCCCAUCGCCAGCUCCA
rnacentral:tRNA from 1 species